UACAGAGGGUGCGAGCGUUGUUCGGAAUUAUUGGGCGUAAAGCGCUUGUAGGCGGCUUGUUAAGUUCCGUGUGAAAUCCCCGGGCUCAACCUGGGAACUGCAUUCAAAACUGACGAGCUAGAGUAUGGUAGAGGGUGGUGGAAUUUCCUGUGUAGCGGUGAAAUGCGUAGAUAUAGGAAGGAACACCAGUGGCGAAGGCGACCACCUGGACCGGUUCUGACGCUGAGGCGCGAAAGCGUGGGUAGCAAACAGG
rnacentral:rRNA from 1 species